rnacentral:lncRNA from 1 species
CGCUCCAGACAGCUUUCUUAAAUGUUUUUUUUUUUUGUCAGUGUAGGUGGCUUCAUGAUAACAGGAUUAUUUCCUUUCUUGAUUAGCCAGAGGAUGUCACUCUGAACACGGAGCAGGUGCACUUUUUCUGGCUUUCUACCCACUGGCGUAACCACCAGAUUUUAAAUAUUAAACCCCAUUCACCAAACGUAUCUCUUUGUGAAUACCAAACAGUAUCUAAAAGCAUGCUGUAAAGGAAAGAUUGGAGUUGACCUUUCUAACUACCAAAGUAAACAGUUGAGUUAGGAACUGUGUUCUUACUCAACACGUCAGGCUUAUCCUUUGGGCUGCAGAAAAUAAUGAUGGAUGGUGGAAAGCAGAAAGAAGAGGGCACCAGGCAAGAAGGCCACAUCACUGGCCUCUAGGGCCACGGACUCAUGGAGAAGAAACAUGGCUGCUAGACAACAUGAUGAAAGUGUGAGCCUUGAGCUCCAGGAGAACCAGAUCCAAGGGGGACUCUGCCAAGGAAGCAGCAUUUGGAUCUGGCCAUCAGGGGAAAGGCAAACCCAGGCACUGGGCUCUGCAGUGCGCUCAAUGGGAUGGUCCAGGGGUUCUGACCGUUGCUCUGCAGUCUCAGCCACCUCCAGAAACUUCCAGCUCAUUGUGCCACCGCCAGGCAGUGGAGAGGCCCAUCGUCAUCAUCACAGACUGGAGCGAGUCAGAGGCUGAGGACGGAGCAAAGGUGGGAGGUCUUGAGAUCUGGAGUCCCAACUCUGUCCUUUCUUUCUGCCCUCUUGGACAAAAGGCCCCAGAAGGAGGCAGGUUUGUUGGAAUCCAAGGACUUGAUGGCAUCGGCAUCCUAGAACCACGUCCCCUUUCGGGCACUGUGCAUCUUCCACUGGAUCCCAGUGUCGGUGACAGGGCAAGUUGUCCUG